rnacentral:misc_RNA from 1 species
UUUUAUUUUUUUGUUUGUUUUUGGCUUGUAUUAUACUAGAUAGCUGUAUAAUAUAGUAGCUGUGCCACGCGGUUCCACCCGCAUAAUCUCCGAUCCCGUGGGAAUGUCGAGAUAAAAAGUUGCCAAUGUUUUAUUCUCAACUGAGGUAGGGCACAGCAGGAAAAACCUUGUUCAAGAUAUGGAGCAGCCCGAGUGGGGUAGUACCCCGACCUUACAAAAAUCACAGCUAAAUAGUACUGUUUUCAAGCUGUGUUUUGUUCCUGUUGGUGAGUAAGAUGACUAGAGCUUCUGGAGGGGUGGAUAGGGAAUAGGGUCGGCAACGCGCUUGCGAUACUUCUAAUGUUACAGACAUCUAUAAGCUACGGUAGUCACUUUCCAUGAGGCAGAAUCGGUCUGGCAGUUGGUGACACACCGUGCGUGUACCUAUGCCGAUAGCAUCUAUUAAAGGAGAAUUGGCCGUUCAUGUGUUCCGGUGACUGCGGACGGCGGACGACGUCGCGGCAGUUCGCGACAAGAAUAAUUAAACCGAUGUGUCUAUUGAUUGCCGCAUGAAUAUUGUAUACUUAUUAACGAGCUGACAAUAGAAUGAGG